GACGAACGCUGGCGGCGUGCUUAACACAUGCAAGUCGAACGGGAAGGCCCUGCUUUUGUGGGGUGCUCGGGUGGCGAACGGGUGAGUAACACGUGAGUAACCUGCCCUUGACUUUGGGGUAACUUCAGGAAACUGGGGCUUAUACCGGGUAGGGGCGCCUGCUGCACGGUGGGGGGUGGAAAGUUUCUGCGGUUGGGGAUGGACUCGCGGCUGAUCAGCUUGUUGGUGGGGUAGUGGCUUACCAAGGCUUUGACGGGUAGCCGGGCUGCGAGGGUGCCCGGACACAGUGGGAAUGACAGAGGGCCCAGGCAGCGGCGGGUAGCAGCAGUGGGGAGGAUUGCAGAAGGGGCGGAGGCGUGAUGCAGAAGGGCCGCGUGGGGUAGGACGGCUCUCGGGUUGGAGGUCGCUUUCGCGUGUGACGAGGCGUGAUUGACGGUAGUGGGUAAUGAAGCACCGGCUAACUACGUG
rnacentral:rRNA from 1 species